rnacentral:rRNA from 1 species
GUCUACAGACAUGCCACCCUGAACAAGCCCGAUCCCGUCUGAUCUCAGAAGCUAAGCAGUGUCAGGUUAGUACUUGGAUGAGAGACCACCUAGGAAGAUCAGGUGCUGUAGGCG